ensembl:lncRNA
AAUGAUUGUCUGCAAAGAAAGAAUUUAAAUAUUAGUAUGAAACGUGAAGGUCUGAAUACUAAUAAAAGGCUUUCUCGCAUGUAGUAGUUGUAUUCUGCCGCUGGGCGGCGCACUUCAAAAGCGCAAAGUCUCGCCCGUCUCCAAGACAACCGCUGCGUGUGGAAUGUAUCCGCUUGUGAAUUUAAGCGAUACGGAAGAAAGUCUGUCAUAUGAGGGAUUUUAUUUAUUAUUCUUUUAUUCAAAAAAGAUAAUUUUUAUUUAUAUAUUUCCCUGCUAGCACAUAAACAAAUCACAACUGUAUUUUAGUCUAUUUCACAUGUUCCUGAUCACGAAACGAACGAAUCCUACUACGAUGAAGGCUAAGCUCAUGAAUAUUAAUUAACCCAUGCAACCGUCGCUUAGCAACUUCCCAGUAGCGUCCAGUCAAGAAGCUCAUUACUAUUCAUGAGCCGAGCCUUCGCCAUAGUAGGCUUCUCUGUGUAUUCAGUGAUGGCAACAAUGUAUCCGCGGCUGGGUUCUCGAGGACUAGUUGGGUCAGGAUGUGAGUCGUGACUGACGCUCAGUUCACUCAGCAGAACUUCUGGGAUUCAGGUCACUCUCAAUUCUCUGAAAUGAAGCUGGAAAUAAAGAAACACUACUCUUCUGGUGACUUGCUAUGAGACAGCUUGCGUCGCUUGGAAGAAAAGUUGUAUUUAUCAGAGAUGUCCACCACGGUGUCCCCAAAAGUCCCCUCCGCCAGCUCCUCAGCGGACCAGCGGACAGUCGUCGUGGGUGCGUUUUGUUGUCUGGUGUUUUUCUUCAUGAUCGUGGUGCUGCUGUUGAUCCUGUACCGGAAGGUUCCUCUCUGCUGCAAAAUGAGGGUUUAUCAGGAAUCUCGUACUGACGUGGAAUCUCCUCCUCAGUACUACAACAGCAGACAGACUCUAGUAGCUUCAUCUGAUGCGGAGCAAACACAUGACACCGGUCUUGAUAAUGUGAAUGCACGGUCGGGCUCGUUGUUCCUCAUUGGUGUGCCGAGCAGCUACUACCUUUCCUCACUGGAGCCUCCUCUUCCUCGUCUGCCCUCGUAUGAGAGCGUCCGCAAGAAAGACCGACAGCGGCAGAUCCACAUGAUGAUAGCAGACCGCUUCGGCCUGAACGGAUCUGUCGAGACUGAGCCGCCUCCCACAUAUGAGGAGAGCAUUCGUGAGUCCGUCCAGUCCAUUGACGUCCCGUUUGACAUCCUGGCACCCGAGGAGGAGCCGCCACAUGCACCAGUCACAGUCUCUGAGGCCGGCACAGAUUUACCUGCAUAUGAAGAUCUACCUCAAAUCACAGACUCACAAGAUCCCAAUAACACUGUUAAUUAAAGCACAAGAACGCAAUCCUUCCUCAGCGGGAAAUCAGCAGCUGUUGAGCUGUGACUACCCUGACAGCUGAUUGCUCACCCUGACGAGCAGCCGACGUGUGCGUGAAUCCGCUGUGCUUGCAAAAGACACCAAAAUAGGGAAGGACUUGACCUAUGCAAUAACUUGCACAAGCACAAUACGAGAGGAGGAGGAUGUUGCAUCACUACUCGAAAAAGGGAAGAGAAGGACAAGAAUAUGCAAGAGUUUUAGUUCUGUCUCUGUUCAAAAUUACAUGAAACUGCUACUACGUAUGUAGAAUUAUGCUGACUGUAGAUAUUUCAAUGACUUUUCCAAGCCUAAAAAAUGUAAACAUUACAUCACAUUCCAUGAUAUUAUUACAUUUAUAGAUAAGUGGGGAAUGCUGAUUUCAUUUUGAUUAGAAAAAACAAUGUAAGCUAUGAAAACAAAUGUUUUUUUUUUGUUUUUUUUUUUUUGUUUUGGAAUAACAUCCAUUUAUGAAUGGUUCAAAAUAAUACUAGUGACAUUUAUUAACCAUAAAUAAAGUCUAUUUGGAUUCCA